AUGGUGACUGGCAUGCUGGGGCAACAAUCAGGGACAACUAGCCUUUUUAUUGACAGGGGUUGGCCCUUGACCUUGAGAAUAGCUUGCUCUCUUGUGUAUUCUCCGCUUACGUAUUUUCUUUUGUAAAUGUUAAUUAGUGUUUCGCAGAGUCUACUGAAUGGCCGGCGCGCUUCGUCUUCAAUUCUCUUUUUUCUGAUGGCUUCCUUUCUUGCAGCCUCUUUUUUGUCAAGUUCCUC
rnacentral:lncRNA from 1 species